rnacentral:rRNA from 1 species
AACGUAGGACGCAAGCGUUAUCCGGAGUUACUGGGCGUAAAGCGCGGGCAGGCGGCCUCGCAAGUCUGAUGUGAAAGCACUCUGCUCAACAGAGUGAUGCCAUUGGAAACUACGAGGCUGGAGUCUGGCAGAGGUAGGCGGAAUUCCGGGUGGAGUGGUGAAAUGCGUAGAGAUCCGGAGGAACACCAGAGGCGAAGGCGGCCUACUGGGCCAGUACUGACGCUGAGCCGCGAAAGCCAGGGGAGCAAACGGG